AUCCUGGCUCAGAUUGAACGCUGGCGGAAUGCUUUACACAUGCAAGUCGAACGGCAGCACGGACUUCGGUCUGGUGGCGAGUGGCGAACGGGUGAGUAAUACAUCGGAACGUGCCCGGACGUGGGGGAUAACUACUCGAAAGAGUGGCUAAUACCGCAUACGAUCCAAGGAUGAAAGCGGGGGAUCGCAAGACCUCGCGCGUUUGGAGCGGCCGAUGGCAGAUUAGGUAGUUGGUGAGGUAAGGCUUACCAAGCCUGCGAUCUGUAGCUGGUCUGAGAGGAUGAUCAGCCACACUGGGACUGAGACACGGCCCAGACUCCUACGGGAGGCAGCAGUGGGGAAUUUUGGACAAUGGGCGAAAGCCUGAUCCAGCCAUUCCGCGUGCAGGAUGAAGGCCCUCGGGUUGUAAAACUGCUUUUGUACGGAACGAAAAGGCUCUUGCUAAUACCAGGAGUCCAUGACGGUACCGUAAGAAUAAGCACCGGCUAACUACGUGCCAGCAGCCGCG
rnacentral:rRNA from 1 species